rfam:Gongylonema pulchrum genome assembly, scaffold: GPTH_contig0074148
GAAAUAGGUAUUCUCCGGUAAUGACAUUGAAUGUUUCGUGAUUGUUAUUGCUUGAGAAUACAAAUUGC